ensembl:misc_RNA 7SK 7SK RNA
GGAUGUAAGAGCAACCUGACUGUGACAUGUAUCUCUCCAUUGACCACCUGGGCUGAGAGAGCUGAUCUGGCUGACUAGGUGGAUGUCCUGUUCCUCCCUCACCACUCCAUCUAUGCCUCUCCUGAAGUUAUACGUUCCACUGAGAGGAUUGUCUUCCCUGAGUAGAGGACUGGCCUUCAGUUCAUGUAGCUAUGCUCCCCUGCUAGACCCUCCAAACAAACUCAAGGCUUAUAAAUUCUAAGUUUGACUAAUUCCAAGACUAUUUUGGUUCUCUGUGUAUUCUUACUGUUAGUAAGCACUGUUUG